rnacentral:rRNA from 1 species
GACGAACGCUGGCGGCGUGCCUAAUACAUGCAAGUCGAACGCAGUGGGGACGGGUGAGUAACACGUGGGUAACCUCCCAUCAGAGGGGAUCACACUUGGAAACAGGUGCUAAACCGAUACUGAUGGAUGGACCCGCGGUGCAUUAGCUAGUUGGUGAGGUAACGGCUCACCAAGGCGACGAUGCAUAGCCGACCGUAGAGGGUGACCAGCCACACUGGAACUGAGACACGGUCCAGACUCCUACGGGAGGCAGCAGUGGGGAAUAGUGCACAAUGGGCGCAAGCCUGAUGCAGCCAUGCCGCGUGUAUGAAGAAGGCCUUCGGGUUGUAAAGUACUUUCAGCGGGGAGGCGUUACCCGCAGAAGAAGCACCGGCUAACUCCGUGACAGCAGCCGCGGUAAUAC